rnacentral:rRNA from 1 species
CCAGGCUGUCUCCACCCGAGACUCAGUGAAAUUGAACUCGCUGUGAAGAUGCAGUGUACCCGCGGCAAGACGGAAAGACCCCGUGAACCUUUACUAUAGCUUGACACUGAACAUUGAGCCUUGAUGUGUAGGAUAGGUGGGAGGCUUUGAAGUGUGGACGCCAGUCUGCAUGGAGCCGACCUUGAAAUACCACCCUUUAAUGUUUGAUGUUCUAACGUGGACCCGUAAUCCGGGUUGCGGACAGUGUCUGGUGGGUAGUUUGACUGGGGCGGUCUCCUCCUAAAGAGUAACGGAGGAGCACGAAGGUUGGCUAAUCCUGGUCGGACAUCAGGAGGUUAGUGCAAUGGCAUAAGCCAGCUUGACUGCGAGCGUGACGGCGCGAGCAGGUGCGAAAGCAGGUCAUAGUGAUCCGGUGGUUCUGAAUGGAAGGGCCAUCGCUCAACGGAUAAAAGGUACUCCGGGGAUAACAGGCUGAUACCGCCCAAGAGUUCAUAUCGACGGCGGUGUUUGGCACCUCGAUGUCGGCUCAUCACAUCCUGGGGCUGAAGUAGGUCCCAAGGGUAUGGCUGUUCGCCAUUUAAAGUGGUACGCGAGCUGGGUUUAGAACGUCGUGAGACAGUUCGGUCCCUAUCUGCCGUGGGCGCUGGAGAACUGAGGGGGGCUGCUCCUAGUACGAGAGGACCGGAGUGGACGCAUCACUGGUGUUCGGGUUGUCAUGCCAAUGGCACUGCCCGGUAGCUAAAUGCGGAAGAGAUAAGUGCUGAAAGCAUCUAAGCACGAAACUUGCCCCGA